AAAACUUUCAACAACGGAUCUCUUGGUUCCGGCAUCGAUGAAGAACGCAGCGAAAUGCGAUACGUAAUGUGAAUUGCAGAAUUCAGUGAAUCAUCGAGUCUUUGAACGCACAUUGCGCCCUCUGGUAUUCCGGAGGGCAUGCCUGUCCGAGCGUCAUUGCUGCCCUCAAGCACGGCUUGUGUGUUGGGCCCCGCCCCCCGA
rnacentral:rRNA from 1 species